UCCAGAUACAGUGCCCUUUAAUCUCCUAAGAGCCAUGCUGGAUUUUGCUGUGCUUUGCAUGACUUUAUGUCUUGCUGUGACACUACAAGACAGCCUCCUGCCAAGGUUCUCAGAGCAGAAUUGGUCUGCAGGCUUCAGAGCUGCAUUGUGAGCACAUACGGACAGGUAUCAUAUUUUGUUUCCAUAUGACAAGAUCUACAAUACAUGAAAAAAAAAUACGAAAAGCUUUUGAUCCAGACAAUCCAGAGACUGGAAAAUCUUCUGUUCUUCUAUGGAAAGAGUACUCAUGCCUGGACACAGAGCCCUUGUAAGCAGUGAGAGCUGU